CCAUGUACCUAGUUUUCAAGUUUGAGCUCUCUCUCAAGUUUAGGCAUAACUGUUAUAAUUUAAACCUACUAUAAACCUGAACUUGUGGGAAGAGUACUUGAUCUAAAGUCUAAAUUGUUAACGGAUAUGAUAUGGGUAGGUUGAGCUGCUGUUUAUCUAUUCCUAGAGAUGCUAGAAUUCUGGAGAACUUUAUCUUUGAAAAUCUUUAAAAUAACACAUGAUGAAUUCUUGUAUGAUGAGAGUUUAAAUUCCUACCACAGCCAUAUAUACAUGCUUGCUAGACUUUGAGCCACACAUUUACUUUUUACUCCUUAUGAGCAUUGAGUGUGGUCAAGCUGUGUAGACCCUUAGGAGCUUGUCAUGCGGUUAAAAUCAAGAUCCACUUGCACGUUCACUCACACAUGCUACUUCUACUCCGGAAGUACGCAUCCACAUACAUCCACUCACUUCCAUCUCCAAAUUCACCUAAAAUUAUUCUACUCCUAUCCAAAAGAGAAUAGCCAAAAAUAUUUUCCUAUCCCUGUUAUUCCCUGUGAAAUAAAUGCUCCAGUUAUUUUGGUUACUACCACUUGCUACAUUAUUCUAGGAGUGUGAGUGCUCUAAAAAAAUAAUGAAUACGAGGAAAUAAAAAGGGGCAAGUGCCCGGAACCUCGAAAAGAGAAAAAGAUAUGAGGAAAUAAAAAGGGGCAAGUGCCUGGAACCUCGAAGAAAAGAAAAAGUGAGACGAGAGGUAAAAAUGGACAAGUGUCCGACACUAGAAUUAGGGAUACAAGAUACCCACCUGAGAGAAAAGAAAAAAAAUAUAGAGCAUCUCAUUCUCCUAAAAAAAAGCUUCAAAGUGCAAGAAAGGUAUGUAUCCCCUAAAAAGAGCAAAAGUAGAAUUAGACUUUCACCAUUGCUAUCACCAUACACCAUUCAUUCGCCACACAUGCACAUCUUGAUUUGACUUAUUGACUUGUUUAUCUGGAUCCAUGGUUUGACUAUGCAAUAAAUGUCUUGUAAGUAUGUAUGCUUUAUCUCCCACCUAUGAGCUCCAGAUAUCAAAACCUUAUUAGAGUAGGGUGAGAGAGAAGGCAAUAUCACUAUGCCUCAUACCAAAAAUACCACAUACUUUGAGAGAAGGCAUAUACCAUUACUGCCUUAGAAAGGAUCCAGAAAUACCACAAAAGAGAGAUUUGAGAGAGUCAUACAAGGAAUCUCUGAGUUUUAUUUGAAAAUCUACAAAAAACUCCAAAGCUAUAACUGAUCAAGAAUAAGAGACAUGGCGCUUGACUUGACCGUUCUAUCUUUUAACUGCUCAAGACACAAGUGACGGUUGCAAGCCCCAUGGUGAAAGGUAAAAUAAGUAAGUUUUAAGUCAAAACAGUUACUUUAACUCAGAGAUGAGAACUUGUUUGAAAGCAUGUGAACCGUCAACAUACAAAGGCAUUGCAGCAACUUCUGAUCCAUCACUGAGUCUAUCCUUGCUCAGGGACAAGCAAGAGGUA
rnacentral:lncRNA from 1 species